rnacentral:rRNA from 1 species
UAGGGAAUCUUGGACAAUGGGCGCAAGCCUGAUCCAGCCAUGCCGCGUGAGUGAGGAAGGUCUUCGGACUGUAAAGCUCUUUUCUCGGGAAAGAACGGCCUCCGGAGGCAAUGCCGGGGGUGUGACGGUACCCGAGGAAUAAGCAACGGCUAACUCCGUGCCAGCAGCCGCGGUAAUACGGAGGUUGCAAGCGUUGUUCGGAAUUACUGGGCGUAAAGGGCGUGCAGGCGGGAGAGCAAGUCUGAUGUGAAAGCCCGGGGCUUAACCCCGGAAGGGCAUUGGAAACUGCUUUUCUUGAGUUCUGGAGAGGAAGGGAGAAUUCCCGGUGUAGUGGUAAAAUACGUAGAGAUCGGGAGGAACACCAGCGGCGCAGGCGGCUCACUAGACAGUUUCUGACGCUAAGAUACGAAAGCGUGGGGAGCAAACA